rnacentral:rRNA from 1 species
CCUACGGGUGGCAGCAGUGAGGAAUAUUGGUCAAUGGACGAGAGUCUGAACCAGCCAAGUAGCGUGAAGGAUGACUGCCCUAUGGGUUGUAAACUUCUUUUAUAUGGGAAUAAAAUGUUCCACGUGUGGGAUUUUGUAUGUACCAUAUGAAUAAGGAUAGGCUAACUCCGUGACAGCAGCCGCGGUAAUACGGAGGAUCCGAGCGUUAUCCGGAUUUAUUGGUGUUAAAGGGAGCGUAGGUGGAGUGUGAAGUCAGUUGUGAAAGUUUGCGGCUAAACCGCACAAUUGGAGUUGAAACUGGCAGUCUGGAGUACAGUAGAGGUGAGCGGAACUCGUGGUGUAGCGGUGAAAUGCUUAGAUAUCACGAAGAACUCCGAUUGCGAAGGCAGCUCACUGGACUGCAACUGACACUGAGGCUCGAAAGUGUGGGUAUCAAACAGGAUUAGAUACCCUUGUAGUC